rnacentral:rRNA from 1 species
AGAGGUCCUACCUGCCCAGUGACUAUUUGUUAAACGGCCGCGGUAUUUUGACCGUGCUAAGGUAGCGCAAUCACUUGUCUUUUAAAUGAAGACCUGUAUGAAUGGUGGAACGAGGGCUUAACUGUCUCCCUUCUCUAGUCAAUGAAAUUGAUCUGCCCGUGCAGAAGCGGACAUAUUAAUACAAGACGAGAAGACCCUUUGGAGCUUAAGACAAAAAGCCAACUGUGUAAAAACUCCCACAUAAAAUGAAGUUUAACAAAACAGCAACUGGCCAACGUCUUCGGUUGGGGCGACCGCGGGGGAAAACAAAGCCCCCAUGCAGAAUGGGAUUUUUCCUCAAACCAAGAGAUACAUCUCUAAGUCACAGAACAUCUGACUUAAAGAUCCGGCCCAAAAGCCGAUCAACGGACCAAGUUACCCUAGGGAUAACAGCGCAAUCCCCUUCAAGAGUCCAUAUCGACAAGGGGGUUUACGACCUCGAUGUUGGAUCAGGACAUCCUAAUGGUGCAGCCGCUAUUAAGGG